UUGCCAUGCCCUCUGAGUCUCGCCCUGCCCACCUCUGCACUCUGUCCUCAUUGUCUCACUUCCAUGCUCCUCUUGGGGACACUUGCACAGCUUGCUGCCCCGUGAAUGCUCCAUGUCCCCUUUUCAGUUCCAGGUUGUUCCUCUGCUGGAAGAGCACGUGCCUCGCCUGGCCUCUUUGUCUGGACACCUUCUUUUCUUUAAGAAUCCACCCAGGAAUGGCUCCUGACGCUUCCAGAUUUCCUAGCACUGGGCCUUAUAACAGCAUUUCUUAAAAUGGGGUCCCCAGUCCAACAGCAUCAGCAUCACAUGGGAAUUUGCUAGAAAUGCAACUUUUGGAGCCCUCCUUGGACCUCUGGGAUCUAAAACUCUGCAGAACUGAUGCUAUGAGAAGCCCAAGCCAUGGAGAGGCCCUAGGCAGGUGCUCUGGUCAACAGCCCAAGCUAAAUGCCCAGCCAACACCAGCAUCUGCGGCCAGCCGUUGAGAACACGAGACUUUUGAAAAAACACAGACGAUGAAACUAUGUGCUCUUUCAGCCAAUACAAUGUGGGAAGUUUUUCUGUUUGUUAAAAUAAUUCAGGUCCUUACAGGGUAGCUUGGUGUAAAUGUGGCCACAGACUCUCAGUUUGGGUCCUCUCAUCUGGUCCUCCACCGUCUAAGGCCAGCACACCAUUCCUGAAGCCCAGCUUCACACCCUGGAUUUUACCCCUCAUCCCUUGAGGACCCGAAGACAAACAGCCUUGUCAACGCACUAGUGCUUUGUCUCACCUCAACUGCAAAGUGGCCAUGGGGUCUUCACCAGCAGCUGGGGAGGAUGCUCCAGAAACUGGCCCUGAUAGCUUUGCCCUGUAACUUGACUGGAUUGCAACCACUAUGGGUGAGAUAAACAUGAUCUCUAAGGCUCUUUUUCAGUAUUGAAAUUACAUGUAUGUCUGAUCACUUUAAAGAAAAAUGUGAAUUUUUUCUUUAUUAAAACAAUUUUCCUUUGUCCUUAUGGAUCAUUUGUCAUAUUUUGCUUCAAUCAAGAGUUGGGUCAGACACAACCACUGGGCAGCUGACACGAGAUC
ensembl:lncRNA novel transcript